GAUGAAGAACGCAGCGAAAUGCGAUAAGUAAUGUGAAUUGCAGAAUUCCGUGAAUCAUCGAAUCUUUGAACGCACAUUGCGCCCGCCAGUAUUCUGGCGGGCAUGCCUGUUCGAGCGUCAUUUCAACCAUCAAGCCCCCGGCUUGUGUUGGGGACCUGCGGCUGCCGCAGGCCCUGAAAAGCAGUGGCGGGCUCGCUGUCACACCGAGCGUAGUAGCAUACAUCUCGCUCUGGGCGUGCUGCGGGUUCCGGCCGUUAAACCACCUUCAUAACCCAAGGUUGACCUCGGAUCAGGUAGGAAGACCCGCUGAACUUAAGCAUAUCAAUAAGCGGAGGA
rnacentral:misc_RNA from 1 species